UAAUUGCGUGCUGGACUGGUAAACUUCAGACUAAUAUUGCCUGCUGCACUAUGUUAAUCUGGCUGAUGAAUUUACUUCUAAUGGCUACAGUUCUUGGUAAGUAACUUAACUGUUAAGCACUGAAGCAACAUGAGCAUGUUUUUAACUAGAAUAAACACACUCCAGCAGUGGGUGGAGCUUAUAGUUGAGAGUGAGAGGCAGAGUGAAACAGCUACAGUACAGUUAUAAAGAUUAUAUUGUUGUCAUCACUGUCUCUGUAAAGACAUCAUGUUUCUUUUCACCUUUCUAAUAAUCCAGUUUUGCAUAGGUAAUUCCUUUGGUGACACAAUACAACCAUGGUUUCUAGAAAAACAUGAUUCUGAGGGUGAAAAUGUGACUCUGUCCUGUAACUACAGCCUCACUAGCGGCACUAGUGUUACUAUCCAGUGGUAUCGCCAGUAUCCCGGAGCAAAACCUGAGUUUUUACUUUUUGUCACUGAAUAUUCUAGCAAAUCUGAGCCUGAACUUCGACUAUUUUCAGAAGCUAAAAAAGAAAUCAAAUGUGUGGAUCUGAUCGUCUCCUCUGCUGCUGUAUCAGACUCUGCUCUGUAUUACUGUGCUCUGGUGCCCACAGUGACAGGAAACACAGCAACAAUGUACAAAAACCUUCCCUUUUAUCUAGAAAAAUUAAAACACAAACACACACAUACAGAGACAAAGACUAAGAGAGAAACUGUAGAGUAUUUAUAG